rnacentral:rRNA from 1 species
GAUGAACGCUGGCGGCGUGCCUAAUACAUGCAAGUCGAGCGAACGCACGAUAAGCUUGUGUCUUUGAUGUUAGCGGCGGACGGGUGAGUGACACAUGCAUAAGCUACUUAUUUUUCUUGGGGAAUUUCGGGAAACCGCAUCCAAUACUGGAUAAUAUUUUGUACCGCAGGGUUCAAAAGUGAAAGACGGUCUUGCUGUCUCUUAUAGAUGGAUCCGCGUUGCAUUAGCGAGUUGGUAAGGUAACGGCUUACCAAGGCAACGAUGCAUAGCCGAUCUGAGAGGAUGAUCGGCCACACUGGAACUGAGACACGGUCCAGACUCCUACGGGAGGCAGCAGUAGGGAAUCUUCCGCAAUGGGCGAAAGCCUGACGGAGCAACACCGCGUGAGUGAUGAAGGUCUUCGGAUCGUAAAGCUCUUUUAUUAGGGAAGAACAGAUGUGUAAGUAACUGUGGCCAUCUUGACGGUACCUAAACAGAAAGCACCGGCUAACUACGUG